CCCCUAUAUCAGUGUAAGAUAAAGUUUAUACCCCUGCCCCUAUGUGUAACAUAAGGCAUCCACCCCUAUAUCAGUGUAAGAUAAGGUUUAUACCCCUGCCCCUAUAUGUAACAUAAGGCGUCCACCCCUAUAUAAGUGUAAGAUAAAGUUUAUACCCCUGCCCCUAUGUGUAACAUAAGGCAUCCAUCCCUAUACCAGUGUAAGAUAAGGUUUAUACCCCUGCCCCUAUAUGUAACAUAAGGCAUCCACCCCUAUAUCAGUGUAAGAUAAGGUUUAUACCCCUGCCCCUAUAUGUAACAUAAGGCAUCCACCCCUAUAUCAGUGUAAGAUAAAGUUUAUACCCCUGCCCCUAUGUGUAACAUAAGGCAUUCACCUCUAUAUCAGCAUAAGAUAAGGUUUAUACCCCUGCCCCUAUGUGUAACAUAAGGCAUCCACCCCUAUACCAGUGUAAGAUAAGGAGAAUAAUACAUGGGAGCGCGGAAAUACCAGAUUUAUUUCGAGUGUUGAACAUGAUAUCUCACGAGUGAGCGCAGCGAACGAGUGAGAUAUCGUGUUCAACACGAGAAAUAAAUCUGGUAUUUCCAAGCACCCAUGUAUUUUUCUGUUUAUUAUAUAAACAAAAUUCAGUGAAAAACAAUAAAACGUCCGGGGCAAUGCGUUUUACAACAAA
rnacentral:lncRNA from 1 species